UCUUAGAUGCCACUAGCAACCUUCCAAUUG
rnacentral:piRNA from 1 species